CUUGUGUCGGACGCGCAUGUCUUGCCGCCGUAUUAUUAUCGUUAAAAAAUAAUAUUGUUUUAGUGUAAAGUAAAUGUGUAAUACUAAAAGUGCUUAGCAGUAGAUUUAUUGUGCGACGUGUAUGUGAAAACGUCAAAGGAAUUGUUUUCAUUACGAGAAGUGCCAGUCAAAACGGAAUCCAUGUUAAAUCCUUUAUUGCAGUGUUUCAAAUACACCUGUUCCCCUCUAUGCCCAUCAAGAACCAAUAAGUCAACUGUAGGAUGCAUGGAAUAAUCUUCAAGAAGGCGAAUGCCACAUCGUCAACGUCAUCAUUGUACUACAAGAGAGAAAGGGAGAGGCAGACACAAGGUAUGCAUAAACCAGAGGGGAUUAACUAGAGCACUGAUAUUGAGAAGGCCAAAAUGAGCAACUUGAAGGGGGGCAAAGGGCAUGGAGAACAACAGUCAGCAUGAAACUAAUGUCAACUUGUCGCAGACGUGGUGCAUCUACAAAACAGUG